AUUGAACGCUGGCGGCAGGCCUAACACAUGCAAGUCGAACGGAGCGGGGGACGGGGGAGUAAGGCCUAGGAAUCUGCCAGGUAGUGGGGGAUAAAGUCCGGAAACGGGCGCUAAUACCACAUACUCUCAGAUGAGCCUCGGUCGGAUUAGCUAGUUGGUGGGGUAAAGGCCUACCAAGGCGCCGACCCGUAACUGGUCUGAGAGGAUGAUCAGUCAAACUGGAACUGAGACACGGUCCAGACUCCUACGGGAGGCAGCAGUGGGGAAUAUUGGACAAUGGGCGAAAGCCUGAUCCAGCCAUGCCGCGUGGGUGAAGAAGGUCUUCGGAUUGUAAAGCACUUUAAGUUGGGAGGCGUUACCAACAGAAGAAGCACCGGCUAACUUCGUGCCAGCAGCCGCGGUAAUAC
rnacentral:rRNA from 1 species